rnacentral:tRNA from 1 species
ACUCGCUUGGUGAAAAAGGUAAACACGAUGGACUUAAAAUCCGUUCUCUAAUUAUGAGUUAUCGGUUCGAAUCCGAUAGCGAGUA